rnacentral:rRNA from 1 species
CCCUAUGGGGUGCAGCAGGCUCAAAGCAAGCAGAAGGGCAAACAGGCGUGACCGCAUAUCAAUGAUUCCUAAAGGCAGUAUACCAGUUUUUAAAGGGAUUAUUGAUUACUUUCCUGUUUCGCGAAUAUAGAUAACUUUGUCCACCUUACACCGUCUCCUACUGUCAUUCUGAGCCUCUGUUGCGAAGAAUCUGAUUAAUAACAAACAGAUCCUUCCCGCAAGGGGACGCGAGCAGUCGCGUUGCUAAGCAUGACAGUGUCGGAGCACGAGCGUUUGUCGGUGGGUUGGCUAUUGAGAUAUUCAGGUUAGUCGAGGUAAUGUGACGCCAACCCACCCUACGAAAAUGAUGCUAUCGUAUCGAUCACUACGCCUUACAACCCAAAAUCAUGUGGGUUGACCGGACUGCCAUUAUAGCGCAACUCGAAGUGCAGGUGAGAGC